UGUUGGUAAGAGUGCCACCGGAUACUUGCUAUGGAGAAUCAAAACUAUACAGAGAGGCAUUUCUAACGAGGAAUAUAAUUUGAAGGCCAGAAGAGACUAGGAAAGGUGUCUACGUCUCAAGUAGGGAUAUCUUCUAGAAGAGUGGAACAAGCAUUGAGGAGCAUCUUCAAGGCAUUGCUGGAAGUGCUCAGCCCUGUCUCCUGGAUCUGGGAAGAAUUAUUCAGUUCACCAGUACUUCAGUUUUGAUCAGUAUGCCAUUCCAUGCAAGUCAGUCUCUUCUCUUGAUGCCUUUGACAAACUGUUUAAUGGGGUUAAUUUACCCAAAAAAUAA